rnacentral:rRNA from 1 species
GGUUAACCAAAGGAAAAACUGUCUCUUCGUUAAAACUUGAACUUUACUUUUAAGUGAAAAGGCUUAAAUUUUUUAGGGGGACGAUAAGACCCUAUAAAGCUUAAUGAUUAAAAGUUAAAUUUUUUGAUGUAACUUAUAAAAUUAAAUUAAAUAAAAUCAUUUUGUUGGGGCGACACAGGUAUAAAUAAAUAUAACUGCCAGAUUUUUAACCAUAAUUUCAUGAUAUAAUAAUGAUCCUAUAUAAAGAUUAAAAGAUUAAGUUACUUUAGGGAUAACAGCGUAAUUCUUUUUAAGAGUUCUUAUUGAAAAAAGAGUUUGCGACCUCGAUGUUGAAUUAAAAAUCCUUUAUGGUGCAGCAGCUAUAACAGAAG